rnacentral:tRNA from 1 species
AGAAACUUAGGUUAAAUAAAACCAAGAGCCUUCAAAGCCCUAAACAGGAGUGAAAACCUCUUAGUCUCUG